UACGUAGGAGGCAAGCGUUGUCCGGAAUUACUGGGCGUAAAGCGCGUGUAGGUGGUGGGACAAGUCUGCUGUGAAAGCGCCUGGCUUAACCGGGCGAGGUCGGCGGAAACUGUCCGACUCGAGGACGGUAGAGGGGGGUGGAAUUCCCGGUGUAGUGGUGAAAUGCGUAGAUAUCGGGAGGAACACCAGUGGCGAAGGCGACUUCCUGGCCUGUUCUUGACGCUGAGGCGCGAAAGCUAGGGGAGCAAACGGG
rnacentral:rRNA from 1 species